CCUAUGAUUUCCAAGAAGCACACCAAAAUCCCUUUUGAAGUCAUAACAGACUACAACCAGUUCCUAGUAAGCACAUAGUUUAUUUUAUUCCAUUAUAUCCUCUAGGGCCGCUUUACAUUACCUGGUGCCCUUCACCAGUAUAGCAACUAACAGGAGCUAGACUCUGCACAUCCAAAUGGUACAAGGACAGGAUGCGAUGGAUACACAGACAUCUAUCUAGAGGUCAAAAAUAACUACUUCCAGAGGCCUGAAAAUGGUCGAUCCAUUUUCUUCAGCAAGAACUGAAAACUGGAUAUUUUCUCAGACCCUAGGAAACCAGCACUAAAUGUUACAGAUGAGGUGUGAGACGCAAGGGAAGCUGAUGAAGCCUCCAGCAGAAGUGCUCCAUUGGAUCAGAAGUUUUUCAUGGAGAUGAUAAGGCAUGCAUCUAUGGAAGAGAGACACUGGAUCCAAACAACACAUUGAAUAUGUAUUGCUUCAAUACUCUUAAUCCUGAAAUAUGUUCAUCUACAGACCUUUAUAUAAUUAGUUAUAAGGACUGCCAAAAUAAGAGACUUUGCAAAUUGAAGAAAUAACACAGUGACUGAAAUCCUGUUGCUUAGCAUAGCUAAAGAGCACUGGAGUAGGUGCUGAAUCAAUGAAACUUGAUCUACCAAAUCUCUAAUGAU